GCGGGGGCGAGUACGCGCGCGGGCGUGGACCGGGCCCGGGUUCCGAGGGCCUGCUGGAGCGGCUCGUGCGGCUCCUCGCGGGCAGGCAGCAGCUUCUAUGAGGACAGCACUGAGUGUGGGGACCCACGGCAAGAGGAGCAAGCUGACAGGAGCCACCGUGGGGCUGCCUCUGUUGCCUGCAGAUACAAUGGGAAGGAACGAUCUUGGGGAGGCUGUGCGGAAGAAGACUUCACAGAGGAAGCAGCAUUUGGUUGGACCGUUUUGCCAAGAGGAAGGGCGUCUACAGUGCUACCCGGAAGGUUCUGCACCAUGGUCACUAGAAGGAGCGAUUCUCACCUGUCGGUGAGGUGUGAUGGCCACAAAGACUCUGUUGAAGUGACAGUGUUCAAGUCACUCUAGAGAGCAAGCAGCCUGGGCGAGACAGCAUAGAAGCUGGUCUGGAAGCCCUGUCUUUACUGCCAGUGAAACAGGCAGCCACAGAGAAAAUGUAAGCAGGUAGUGACAUAUCCAGAUUCUUAUUUUAUUUUAUUUAUUUAUUUAUUUAUUUGUUUGUUUGUUUGUUUGUUUGUUUAUUUAAGGGCAUUGCACUUUAGGUCAGAGUGACCUAUGUAGCCCGGGCUGGUCUGGAACCUCUAGCAAUCCUCCUGCCUCAGCCUCCCAAAUGACAGGCAUGAGCCAAUAGACUCUUUCUGGCUGUUCAUCGAGAAUGGGCAAUGGAGAAAGGGAUAAGAGAGAAGAAGAAGGAGGCUUUAGAGCUGUGGGUGGAUCACUGGCAGAAAGGCAGUGUUAGAUCUGAGAAACACAGACACUGGGUAACUGUGGGGUAGAUGAGAAGGCAGGAAUGUGGGCUGUGAUAGGGAUGGGGGUGCCAGCACCAAGGGCCACGUGGCCAUCGAGGUGGGAGCAGAGGCUGUAUGCGGCUAGAAUACAAGCAGGGGUGAUGGGAAGACAGGCGAGGGCCAGCCCCUCCUGCCCACGCCAGGUCAGGACUCUGGGGCUUAUUCCUGAAGGCAAUGGGGCAUCACAUCAAUUUUCUCCAGGCAGGAAAAGACCAUGCUGAGAUUUGCGGUUUUUGAAAGAUCAUUUUGGUGGCAGGGUAGAGGGUGGGAAGUGGCAGGUGGGCGAGGCUGGAAGGAGAGAGGCGGGGAGGGUGCUGGUUAGAGGGGCACUCAGAGGCCUCUGAAGCACCCAGGACAUCUUCUAACUCCAAGAAAAAAACUGCUUUCUCAGCGAGGACUAAAACCAGGCCGAGUUCACACAGCAAGUCAGUGGCAGACAAGAUCUCUCCUGGCCUUCUCAAGCACCCUGGUCACUGACAAAAGCCAUCAUGAAUAUUUUACUUGAACUGUCAGUCCAGAAACUACUAUGUCACCAGGAGAUGGCACUGUGAUUGUUCCCAUUUUCCAGAUGAGGAACCGGAAGCUCUUCAGGGCUGUCACUCAGCUCAUAUAGGGACCCACAGCUGGGACUCAAUCCAGGCAGCCUGACUCACUCAUACAAACCAAAGAACCCUAACCAGGAGGCCACAGGCCCAAUGGGGGCUAUGGAUAUGUUUCAGGGACCUGUAGGAGUGUAUUAUAAUUUUUUUUUCAGAGCUGAGGACCGAACCCAGGGCCUUGCACUUGCUAGGCAAGCGCUCUACCACUGAGCUAAAUCCCCAACCCCUACAAUUUUUAAGUUAUUGCUAAUAUUAAAAAGUUGAAGGCUGUCUCGAAAAACCAAAAAAAAAAAAAAAAAAAGUUGAAGGAUUCCACAGAAGGAGAAAGCCUGAAAUUAAGACAAGAUCUCUUUAUGCUAGCAUCCUCAGGGGUCUUGUCUAUCUCCUGGUCAUCUCAGAGUGACACCAGGUUCACAACAACAGCUUGGGCCUCUUCUCUGCCUCCAAACAGUCAACUGGACAGCUCUGAAAGCAAGUCUUAUCCAGAGAAUCUCUGUGAGACCAGGGAAAAACAUGCUCUUGUCCAGCAAGCAUUUGGUCCUUCCUCUCCUGUCCACAGCCCCAAGCCCUCACCACUCAGCCUGCCGCACCAAGGGCCUUCUCCAGUGUCUCUUGCUCAGGCCAGGCACCUGGAGGGAUCUUGACUCUCCUCUCUUACACACCCACUUCCUGUCUGUUUUCAUCUUUGAGCUCCAUCCAGUAUCCAAGGGUGUCCUACCACCUGCCAACCCUGGGCACCACAGGAGCCAGGGAGCAGCAUGUGUUAGCGGUUCAGGGUCGGCGUCUACACUCACUCUCUGGGUCUGUUCUGUGAAAGGGCAGGGCAGGGCAACUCACUCCAUUCCCGUUAUCCUUCAUCCUUCCAUCCAGAUUUGGGAGCUCAGUAAAAGCCUGGGUGAUAAGAUACUAGGUAAAAAUUCUAAUUCCUGCUGGAUGUGGGGGUGCAUGCCAAUCCCAGAUCUUGGGGGCAGAGGCAGGCAGAUCUCUGUGCGAUCAAGGCCAGCCUGGUCUACACAGUAAAUUCCAGGUCAGCUAGAGAUAUGUAGUGGGACCCUGUCUCAAAAAAAAAAAAAAAAAAAAAAAAAAAAGUUUCAUUUUGAAUUCCCAAGUUGAAAGUAUGGCUCAGAGACAAAGGCACUUGGCUAGCAAUUACGAAGUCUGGUCCAGGACAGGUAGGACACAGGAAGAGAGUGUGGGUAUCUGAAAUGAUGAGUUUGGCUUUCAGUACCCUGGGUCAGGUCAGAGUUCUGUGAGAUGGCCUCACAAUAUCUUCUAGGGCCUGGCAUAAAGCAAGUGCUCACAACUCAUUUGCUGAAAGAACUAGUGAUGAGCGAUGAGCCCUCCAGAUCCCCCAGAGAGCCUGAGCAUCCAUUCACUCAGAAGGCCUUGGAAUUCCCAGUCAGAGACAGGACACAUGCUCUACUACCAGCCACCACAUGGAGCAUGCACUGUGUGCCCAACACAGGCCUCAGAGCCCUGUGCUCUUCACUGUGACCCCAGGAAGCAGCAGCAACUACUUUUUAUGGCUGAGUAAACUACAGGCAGGAGAGGCUAAGUGACAAAAAUGGUCAAGGUCAUAUAGCUCAUAAGUGGCAGAGCUAGAAACCAACCCGGGCUGCCUGACCCCUGACCUCUCGUUCUUCAGGAUUAUUCAGGCUGCUCCUCAAGAAGAAAUAAGGUCUAGAGAGGGAAGACUGUUCAGGUUGCAGAUGGGACAUGCCGAGCAGGACUGCCAGCACCAUGGUGUAGUCGGACUUUCUGUUCUGCCGCCAGCUCACAAAUAACGACACAGAGACUUACUAUUAAUUAUGAAAGCUUGGCCUUAGCUGAGGCUUGUUCCACUAGCUCUUAUGACUUAAAUUAACCUGCUUUUAUUAGUCUAGGUUUUACCAUGAGGCUUCUUACCUCUCUUUCAUUCUGUAUGUCCAACUCCCUCCACGUCUCGUUGGCGGCUCCCUGUGCCUCGAUUAUCUCCUACUUCCUCUCCCUGCCGAAAGUCCUGUACCUCCUGCCUAGCUAUCGGCCGUUCAGCUCUUUAUUAAAUCAAUCACAGCAACAUACAGUAUCCCACAACACCAUGGCCCUUUCCGUAGCUGCUAUGGAUCUGACGUCAGCCAGAGCUCCAGGCUUUCAAGCUACUCUGGUGGCUCCCACAGCUCCCACAGCUCCCACCUUGGGAUCAAGGCGAAUCUGACAUUCCUACCACCACCACCCCUGCUUGACUAUGGACCCUUCAUGUGAAAACACCACCACCCCAAGCAGGAUGUGCCUGCUCAUAUAGUAGUGGCUCCGCUAUUGAGAGAGACCAACAGCCUUCCAAUUGGAUUUAAGGCCCAUUCUACAAGAAGGAGUUCCAGCCUGGUACUGUAAGCCAGAAUAAAAGUCUGUGGCUGGGGAAGUCAUAGGUCCCAAUGGGAAAGCAACUUUUUUUUUUCCUAGAUGGAUGUGAUAUGUCUGUUAAACUUAUGCCCAUGGAUCAAUGUUGUAUCAGCUCACUCAUGACCAUUGUGGAAGCUCCUGAGAACCGUUACUGUGACAUGUGAACUACUUCUUAGCCAUAGGUGGACACCUACAGUCACCCCCUCCAAGGCUCAGCGAUUACUGCAAAAGAGUGGGGCAGAAAGAGGAUAAGAGCCAGACAACUCAAAAUAGCUUCAGGAAGUCCCUGAAACUGACCAGAUCCAUGAGGCCCUCCCUACCAGAGUAAGCAACAGAAACUAAGUUUCCCUCUCAGACAGAAGGAAGGAAGGUGAGCUGCAAAGAAGACUGUGAGGCCCAACCAGUUGCCUAGAAGAAGCAGAAACCAGGAAGAGGUUUAGACCAACUGAGGCACCUGGAAAGGACACUCUCCAACCUGCUGAGCUGCCUUCAGGCUGUGCAGUGUGCUCCAGGGUCCUAGCUUUGUGAGCUGUCACCCAUGUUGGGGUGGGCUUUGGUGAUGCAGAUGUCUCUGAGUCAUUUCUGCUCUUAUAAGUAACCCCUCACCCAUAUUUCUGUAAGUAACCCCAAUAAAACUCAUUAGUUCACCAAUUUGGA